GGCCCAGUGGCGGAUGGUCCGCGCUCGCACAGGAUAGGCGGGUAUCAUGAAAAUGACUACUUCUGCGGAAGACGCUCGUUCGAAUCGAGCCUGGGCCA